rnacentral:rRNA from 1 species
AUUGAACGCUGGCGGCAUGCCUUACACAUGCAAGUCGAACGGUAACAGGUCUUCGGAUGCUGACGAGUGGCGAACGGGUGAGUAAUACAUCGGAACGUGCCUAGUAGUGGGGGAUAACUACUCGAAAGAGUGGCUAAUACCGCAUGAGAUCUACGGAUGAAAGCAGGGGAUCGCAAGACCUUGUGCUACUAGAGCGGCCGAUGGCAGAUUAGGUAGUUGGUGGGAUAAAAGCUUACCAAGCCGACGAUCUGUAGCUGGUCUGAGAGGACGAUCAGCCACCCUGGGACUGAACCACGGCCCAGACUCCUACGGGAGGCAGCAGUGGGGAAUUUUGGACAAUGGGCGAAAGCCUGAUCCAGCAAUGCCGCGUGCAGGAUGAAGGCCUUCGGGUUGUAAACUGCUUUUGUACGGAACGAAAAGCCCCGGGUUAAUACCCUGGGGUCAUGACGGUACCGUAAGAAUAAGCACCGGCUAACUACGUGCCAGCCGCCGCAGUAA